AACGAGAAAAAAAAUGAGACUCCAUUCAAAAUGAUGGAUCCUUAAAGGAAGUUAGGAUGCGUAUGUCAUAUAAAAUUAAAAAAAAAACAGAAAAAGGUUUAAAAAAAAGUUUGAUAUCAAAGGGUGGCAUUUUAAGAUUUUAAUUUCAAACUUGUGACAGUGUGAUCAAAAAGUCCACAAAAUACACUGAAGUUAAAUACCUUUUCCAUCGUAAAGUUACUGAAU
rnacentral:lncRNA from 1 species